UCCCGUAUUGUCUAGUGGUUAGGAUAUCCGGCUCUCACCCGGAAGGCCCGGGUUCGAUUCCCCGGUACGGGAA
rnacentral:tRNA from 1 species